UUGGUUAGAGCGUGGUGCUAAUAACGCCAAGGUCGCGGGUUCGAUCCCCUGGCGGAUGGUAACACGGAAGUGAACGCGGUGGCCUCCAACGGGAAGCUUGACGUGGGCGGUCAGGCGGCGACAGCGACUGCGACCCGACGCGGGACCUCUCCCCACACCGCCCAGGCGCAGGGACAGCCGUCACCUGCAACCCGACAAUCCGCGACAGGAAGGAACCAUUCAUGCUCUGAAGCAAGCUAUUUACACUGAUGAAAACAAGGAAAACUGGAUCAUCCCAGAAAUGAAAUCAGAAGAUAGGAGUGUGCUACACCACCAGGUCAGGGACUCGUAUUGUGUUGGCAGUGGAAUGAAAAUAUAUGGUGAGAACAGGAUUGCCUUCAUGGUUAGGGGCAGCAGGCAAAGGUCAGUUUUCCUAGCAGAAGGAGGUCACUAGUGAACUUUAUGGAAUUCAUGACAGGGUCUGUGCUACUCAGUGUUACCUAAAAGCAACAUGACAAUGGGGGUAAACAGUAAGUGACUGAAUUUGCUGAUACUGCAAGAGUAAGCAAGAUGGGUUAAAACAAAACAAAAAAAAAAGCAGUUGAAAACAGUUAGUAUUGAGCCAAGCAACCGAACAGUAAAAUGGCAGGUGAAAUUCACUGCUGAUUGGUGUGAAGGGAUGGACACAGAAAAAGUUGCAAACAGAUUGAGUUAAAUUUGAGUUCAGUUUUACUGCCCAGAAAAGACUGUGGCAUUGUAACAGUUCUAUGAAAAAGCCAGCUUAAUGCUGAGCAGCAGACAAAACUAGCAAACGGAGUAUUAGGAUUACGAAAGGAAUAAUGAAUUAAAACUUCAUUAUGCCACUGUAUGAUCUUGGAUACACAUACGUAUCUUAUGGUGUUGGU